rnacentral:rRNA from 1 species
UUAAGAGUGUUAGCUUGUUUAAGAUUGGGGACAAUUGUUUAUUGGUUUUUGGUUUUGAAAAUAAGUGUUUAAAAAAUUAGAUAGUUUUAUUGCAAGAGUAAUUUUUAUAUAAAUUGUGUUUUAAGCUAUAGUGGAAAAGUACUGUGAAGGAAAUUGGUUAAAUUAUUAAAAAGAAGGUUUAGAAUUUUGUACCUUUGGUAUCAGGGGCAAUCUAUUUGUUUUGAAAAGUUUCUAUAUUCCCGAAAUAGAGUGAUCUAAUUGAUCGAAAGUGUUUAUGUAGAAAAAUGAAACUUAACGGUUUAUUAGUAGUGAUAUGCUAAUCGAACUUUAUAUAUCUGGUUACUUCUGAAUUAAUUUUAAUUUAGCUUUUAUGAAUUUUUGUUGUAAAAUUAAAUACUUAGGGGGAAGAGCUCUUAGGUUGUAGUUUGGGUAAAAUAAAUGUUCCUUAAGAAAAUAAAUUUAGGCUUAGGAUCAGCCAUAUUAUCAGGCCGUUAUAGGAGGUAUUUAGGUAAGGUAUAUUUUGAUAUGGGUUUACUUAAGAUAGGAAGUUAAUUGUAAAAAUUUGUAUUAUUGUGUAAUAUUGAUUGUAUUAGUAUGAUUUUAUUGUAGAAUAUUUAUAUCUGGUGAUUGUUUUAGGUUUUAAGAAAUUUUAGGUGUAUUUGAGGAACUCGACAAAGGUUGCGCCCACCUGUUUAACAAAAACAUGUCUAUUAGAAUAAAAUUUUUAGUCUGGCCUGCCCCCUGACAAAAGUUAAAGGGCCGCGGUAUUUGGACCGUGCUAAGGUAGCGUAAUCAGUAGUCUUUUGAUUGAAGUCUAGUAUGAAUGGUUGGAUGAGGUGCAAUUUGUCUUUAGUAUACUAUCUGAAUUUUACUUUUAAGUGAAAAGGCUUAAAUUUUGUGGAGGGACGAUAAGACCCUAUGAAGCUUUAUGUUAUAAAUUUCUAUAUCUAAUAGUGUUGUGUUUAGGUCAGUAAUUUAGUAAUAUUGUGUUGGGGCGACAGAAAUAUAAUUUUAACUGUUUUUAGAGGUAAAAUAAUUGAUUUUUAGUUUGUUGAUCUUGUGUGUUGUGGAUUAAAAGAUUUGAUGUUACUCUAGGGAUAACAGCGUAAUUUUUCUUGAGAGUUCUUAUCGACAGAAAUAUUUGCGACCUCGAUGUUGAAUUAAGGUUUCCUUAUGGCGCAGAAGUUAUAAGGGUAGGUCUGUUCGACCUUUAAAAUCUUACAUGAUUUGAGUUCAGACCGGCGUAAGCCAGGUUAGUUUCUAUCUUUUACUUUUUGUGGAACUGUUCUAGUACGAAAGGAGUGAGCGGUUGAAAUAUUUUUAAGUAUUUGAUUUACUUUAA